ACCGGAAAUACUAUCAGCUGGAAAUAAAAUUGAUGUGUUGAACGGGAUAGCAUGGGAUGAAGAUAAGAAACGACUUUUUGCGACUGGGAAACUUUGGCCGAAGCUAUACGAGGAAUCAGAUUUGAAAUCACACACCAGCUUGGAUUGCAA